rnacentral:tRNA from 1 species
GGUGAUGUAGUCCAGUGGUGGAACACAUGCCUCGCACGCAUGAGGGCUGGGUUCCAUUCCCAAAGCACUG